AAAUUCCCUGAAGGCCCAUGUGUUAAAAGGGUUUGGUUACUACCCUUUGACUGCAGCACUGGAAGGUGGAAGGAGCCUUAGAGCAGCCAUGAGGUGAACUGCUUGGCUCCAUGACAUACAGUGUCACCCGAUGGCCAAACAGGCCACCUAUUGAAACCAUGAGAUUAAAUAAACCUUUCCUCCUCGGGAGCUGUUUUUUCCAAACAUAUUUUGUCUCAGUGAUAGGAAGUUAACACAAUCUCUUCUAAAAUCCCAUGUGGAUCCUCUCGUUUCUGUGAUGCUACACAGUGUAUGGCUUGAGUUGGUGUUCACUUGCACCCUCCAUAUUCUUAGCUCGUGCUAUUUGGAGAAAUAAAUUACUUUUCUCAUAA
rnacentral:lncRNA from 14 species